rnacentral:misc_RNA from 1 species
CAUCCACCACAACAAGGAACUAUAGAAUCAUCCACCACAACAAGGAACUAUAGAAUCAUCCACCACAACAGGGAACUAUAGAAUCAUCCACCACAACAGGGAACUAUAGAAUCAUCUGCCAGAAUCUCCCUCCUUCAGAUGUCCCUCGAGACCUACCCUUCCUCUGCCUCCCUGUAAAGACUGCCGCCAACACCCUAAGGCCCUUGCGGAUUCUCUGGGGCAGGGAGGCAGACAGGACACCCAGGCAUGAUUGAACCUAUCAUGACAGCAGUGCUCCUCGACAACUGGAGGUCUAACUCCCUCCGUCAGUUCCCGCCCAAGGUCUCCAAGAUGAAGCUCUUUAAGGCCAACUCGGUGCCCCACGUCCAGGAGGACAUAUUGAAUGGUGUGGGCGGCACGGGCGGCAUGGAGGGCGCGGGUGGGCGGGCGGCCAUCAAGGUGGGCGGCACAACAGGGAGCUCAACCACAUCCAGAGGCUCCUCUAGCAGCGGCUCCUCCGGCCAAGGAGUGGGCUGCGGCGUGGUUGGGGUGGCGAUGACGUCGGCGGGGUUGACAUCGUCGACGCAGACCCUGGCGGUGACGUCGACGCCGCGGUCUCUCUCCCUGGCGUCUAUUUCGUCAGACGGCAGCAGCGACAGUCACCUGGUGGAGAGGGAGGACAUCGUCGCCCUCACUACUGCUGUCAGGGCCUUCAAGGAGGCCCUCGGCAAGCUGAAGAGGAUCUUCCACCCGGAGAGAGACAAGAACGAGACCUUACGAGUGGCCGCCCACGAACGUCUCGGGGAGGUGUUGAGGAUCUUGAGGUCUAUCUUAGAGAAAUACAGCCCCAUACAACACAAUGAGCUCCUCGCUGCUGCCUCUCACCUCAUAUCACACGUUAAUGGGUUCAGCUAUGAGGAUGAACAGGCAGACCCCACCGCCUUCCUGGAGGCUAUCGACCAGCUCGCCCUCGCCUUCUCCAGCAGGGUAUCGGAGUAUCUUAUGGGAGACAUCGACAGUUCUUCAGCUAUCCUUAACUGCUCUACCGCCUCCUCCAGGAACAAGUCUUGUGAGAACUUGGUGAGCAGCGACGGAGAGAGCACCACCGGGGAGCGAGGCGGCAUAGCUGGCGCUGAGGGAGGGUGUUUGGACCCCGGCCUGAAGGAACCAGAGGUACUCACACCCCAGCAGAUUGAUGAGUACCUUCACCGCCAUGAGCAGGGUGUGGAGUACGCGCUGCACCGUGCCAAGGUGUGGAGUAAGUACGCUAAGGACGUGAUGACGUAUAUAGAGAAGCGCGCCCAGAUGGACCUUGAGUACGCCAGGAACCUCACCAAGCUGGCGCACACAGUCAGACCUGCGCUCAAGGAGGAGAGCUUCCUGCCCUUCCAGUCUAUAUACUGCACGGCGCUGGACCAAGACAUAGAGAACACCUCCCAGCUGAGUCAGACCUGUAUCCUCCUCCAGACCCACAAGUUUAUUGAGCCCUUGACAACAAGGAGAAAUGAACACGAGAGAUCACGGAAAGUCAUCAAGGAGUCUUGGCAUAAAGAACUGAAGAGGGUCACUGAGGCCGUGUCCAACCUUAAGAAAUCCAAAGUUACUUACGUCCAGCGUCACCAGGAGUUGAUGAAGAUGAGGGAACUAUUAUCAAGAGCAGAAUACACAGAAGGACUGGAAAAACUAGAAAGAAAGCGGGAUGAGGCCUACCAAAAGGCGAAGGAGGCAGAGACCUGGUACAAGACGUGUGUCGCCGAUGCUAAUGAGCGCCACGCCUCCCUCCUCAAGGUCAAGCGUGAGGUGCUUGUACAGGCGCGCGAGCUCAUCCUUCAGUGUGACCAAACCAUGAAGGCAGUUACUGUCGGCUACUUCCAGCUCCAACACACCGUGGCCGCCCCGGCCCCUGUACAGCUUCAGACACUCUGUGAGAGCUCAAGGCUAUAUGAGCCGGGGUCUCAAUAUAUGGAAUUUGUGAAGCGACUCGGUCCUUCGCUCGGUCAGGAGCAACCGGAGACGCCCUUCACCUUCCAGCCGUACACACCGGGCACCCAGGACCCACCCAACCAUGACCCUACCGCUAAUGGCUCCAUGACCUCCACCGAUGACCUCCAAGUGGGUGGGGUUGGUGGCCACGGGGGCAGUGAUACGGACAGUGUGGGUUCGUCACAUUCGGCCAAGAGUGUGGACGCCUCGCCCACGGCCUCGCCUCUCGCCCCAGCUCGACGCACUCACACCAUCUCUUCCGGGGAUGAGUUGGAGACUGACCCUGACACUGCGGACGCCCACUACAAUUACGGCGCCGCCAGACGUCAGGUGAUGAGCAAGGCUGCCGUCACCCACACCUUCAGGAAGCUCAAGACGCCCUCGAGGUGUCGGGAGUGUGAUUCCUACGUCUACUUUCACGGCUACGAGUGUGCUGAGUGUGGUCUAGGGUGUCAUAAAAAGUGCCUGGAGACACUAGCCAUACAGUGUGGUCACAAGAGACUGCCCCGGAAGAUGACAACCUUUGGGGUGGACUUGGCGCAGCACCUGUGUGAGACGAACACAUCCAUACCUCAUCUGGUGGUCAAGUGUGUGGCUGAGAUUGAUGCUCGAGGUACCAAAAUCAAGGGCAUCUACCGGGUGUCGGGCGUCAAGAGCCGGGUGGAGAAGUUAUGUCAGGCCUUUGAGAAUGGCGCCAACCUCGUCGAUCUCACCGACCAACACCCAAAUGUGAUCGCCAACGUCCUCAAGCUCUACCUCCGUCAGCUGCCAGAGCCCCUCCUCACCUUCAGGCUCUACCCAGAGUUUAUCAGGAUUGCCAAGGAGUGUCCCACAGGAGGCGAGUGUGGCCGCACGACAGAGGACCUGAGAGACCUAGUGCGUCGACUGCCUCGCCACCACUUCACCUGCCUGGCUCUCCUCAUGCAUCACCUGCACCGUGUCACCUUACAUGCUCACCUCAACAACAUGCCUUCCUCCAAUCUAGGUAUUGUGUUUGGACCAACGUUGCUACGGACAUCAGAAGGCUCGGCGUCCCUCAGUUCAUUGGUCGACACUGUACACCAGACUCGGGCCAUUGAACUGCUUAUUAUGUUCGCCAAUGAGAUCUUCGGCCAGCCAGAGCACUACCAGGUACCUGCGUCAGCUCGCUCCUUAGAUGAGGUUCUCAAGGCUCCAACACCAAGCAGACAGACGAGCGUUCACACCAGCAGCAGUAGUGGGGUGGUCAACGUGGCUAUCUCCGGCUACAAGCGACCGCCUUCCGAAAUGGUGGGUCUGGCAGAGGACUCCCCAUCCACACCCACCCCCACCCCCACCCACCCAACGCCCACACCCCCACCACACCACCAUGCCCCGAAGGAGAGAAAAGACUCUGAUGUAUUAGAGGAGGACUGGGAUUGCGAGAAUUGGGAAGAGUCGGGGACAGAGGGAGGUGGAGUGAGCGAUGUGGUCAGUAGUGGUCCACGGGGGUCGUCUACCAGGUCCACCACGGCCCACGCCAAAAUAUACAAGACUUCCCUGAGAGAUUAUGUCGGCCUGGAAGGGGUGGCGCUACACAUGUCAACGGGGUUACACACGGCCCAGGAUGCGGUGGACGUGGUGCACCAGAAGCUGAGGAAGACUGUGAGUGACAUCUCCUCCUCCUUGCGGCCCCCCACCACCCACGACCUGCCCCGGAGAGCCACCAUAGAUGAGGCCACCAGAAGAGGGCCCCAGGAGGAUGACAGGAAACACCACGACCAUCCUGCCAGAAGAAAAGCCCCAGAAGACCCACAUAGAAGACACAUCUCUGAAGACCUGAGAAGAAAGGCCACAUCAGAGGAAGUUGGGAGAAAGUCAACGACGGAGGAGUUGACAAGAAGAGGAGAGGACGAUAGAUUGAGUCAGCAGGAGGAUCGACCUCGACAACCACAGAGCACUUCAGGCGCCAUGUUGGCUAGGGCUCAGGCGCUUUAUAAGAGUGCCUCUAAGGGCAGCAUGAGCGAGACCGAGCUUAAGGUGGAGGUCCGGGCGUCGUCAGGGGUUAACAAAGGUGAGAGUCGUGAUGCCAGUAGCCAGGACCUUGGCACCUCCACCAGCAGCGUCCCCAUCCCCGGCACCCGCAGAGUGUCACCUCACUUGGGUCAUCGCCCCAGUCUAGGUCAAAAAUCAGGGUUGACCAGUGGCACAGACUCCUCAAUAGACUCUGACCACAGCUACGACUAUGGUCACCACACACAUGCCCUCACCCCCUCCGCUACCCACACUUCCACUCCCAUCUUGCCUCCCCGAGGACGGAGCGAGUUGGCGACGAGCGGGGCCUCCAGGGGCGUGUCUGUGUCACGGGACCCCUCGCUGGACAAUGUGACCUCGUCGGUGACUUCGUCGGACUCAUCGUCUCAGGAGGUAGACUCAGCCCAUGCCACAGAGGACUCUCACAGCUCUGAAGCCGCUGAUGAACCUGACACUGCCCGCACCAUCACCUACUCCUCCGCACACUUUGCACGAUCCACAAGUGAAGACUCCAGCUCUAGUAGUUCUUAAACCAAAACUUAAACAAUUCCAGAACUAAAAAAAAAAAAAAAUAAAAAAUAAAAAUAUCCAAUCAAGUAACUGGCAACUUUUGUGUUGUGGUGGCAGCAGCGGCGGGGAGUCCGGCUACGUGUCUCCCUACCUGAGCACCGAACGAGGCGGCCUGGUCACCCUCGGCCCCUCCUUGCUCCUCACCAGGUCCACCAUCG